AACAUACACAGCACAGGGGGGUAACCAUUGGAAACGAUGGCUAAUACCGCAUACGCCCUAUUGGGGAAAGAUUUAUCGGUGUUGGAUUGGCCCGCGUUAGAUUAGCUAGUUGGUGGGGUAAUGGCUCACCAAGGCGACGAUUUAUAGCUGGUUUGAGAGGAUGAUCAGCAACACUGGAACUGAGACACGGUCCAGACUCCUACGGGAGGCAGCAGUCGGGAAUAUUGUGCAAUGGGGGCAACCCUGACACAGCCAUGCCGCGUGAGUGAAGAAGGCCUUAGGGUUGUAAAGCUCUUUCAGAUGUGAGGAUGAUGACGAUAGCAUCAGAAGAAGCUCCGGCUAACUUCGUGCCAGCAGCCGCGGUAAUACGAAG
rnacentral:rRNA from 1 species